rnacentral:rRNA from 1 species
AUUGAACGCUGGCGGAAUGCUUUACACAUGCAAGUCGAACGGCAGCACGGACUUCGGUCAGGUGGCGAGUGGCGAACGGGUGAGCAAUGUAUCGGAACGUGCCCAGUCGUGGGGGAUAACGUAGUGAAAAUUACGCUAAUACCGCAUACGAUCUAUGGAUGAAAGCGGGGGAUCGCAAGACCUCGCGCGAUUGGAGCGGCCGAUAUCAGAUUAGGUAGUUGGUGGGGUAAAGGCCCACCAAGCCAACGAUCUGUAGCUGGUCUGAGAGGACGACCAGCCACAUUGGAACUGAGACACGGUCCAGACUCCUACGGGAGGCAGCAGUGGGGAAUUUUGGACAAUGGGCGAAAGCCUGAUCCAGCCAUUCCGCGUGCAGGAUGAAGGCCCUCGGGUUGUAAACUGCUUUUGUACAGAACGAAAAGGUUUCUACUAAUACUAGGAGCUCAUGACGGUACUGUAAGAAUAAGCACCGGCUAACUACGUGCCAGCAGCCGCCGUAA